rnacentral:tRNA from 1 species
GCGGGUGGAGCAGCUCGGUAGCUCGCUGGGCUCAUAACCCAGAGGUCGCAGGUUCAAAUCCUGCCCCCGCU